rnacentral:rRNA from 1 species
UACGAAGGGGGCUAGCGUUGCUCGGAAUCACUGGGCGUAAAGCGCACGUAGGCGGAUCUUUAAGUCAGGGGUGAAAUCCUGGAGCUCAACUCCAGAACUGCCUUUGAUACUGGCGAUCUCGAGUUCGGGAGAGGUGAGUGGAACUGCGAGUGUAGAGGUGAAAUUCGUAGAUAUUCGCAAGAACACCAGUGGCGAAGGCGGCUCACUGGCCCGAUACUGACGCUGAGGUGCGAAAGCGUGGGGAGCAAACAGG